rnacentral:rRNA from 1 species
UACAGAGGGGGCAAGCGGUUGUUCGGAAUUACUGGGCGUAAAGGGCGCGUAGGUGGCCUUCUAAGUUGAACGUGAAAUCCCUGGGCUCAACCCAGGAACUGCGUCCAAGACUGGGAGGCUUGAAUCCGGGAGAGGGAUGCGGGAAUUCCCGGUGUAGUGGUGAAAUGCGUAGAUAUUGGGAGGAACACCAGUGGCGAAGGCGGCUUACUGGACCGGUUCUGACGCUGAGGCGCGAAAGCGUGGGGAGCAAACGGGAUUGAGAUACC